rnacentral:rRNA from 1 species
UACGGAGGGUGCAAGCGUUGUCCGGAAUCACUGGGCGUAAAGAGCGCGCAGGCGGUCGUUCAAGUCGCGUGUGAAAGCCCCCGGCUCAACUGGGGAGGGUCACGCGAUACUGAUCGACUCGAAGGCAGGAGAGGGUAGUGGAAUUCCCGGUGUAGUGGUGAAAUGCGUAGAUAUCGGGAGGAACACCAGUGGCGAAGGCGACUACCUGGCCUGUUCUUGACGCUGAGGCGCGAAAGCUAGGGGAGCAAACGGG